GCCUUUGUGGUGUAGUGGUCAGCAAGCUCGACGUGUAACCGAGAGCUCCGUGCUUCGAUUCCCGGCGAAGGCG
rfam:Stegodyphus mimosarum contig58228, whole genome shotgun sequence.